AGCAGUUAUCUGAUCCCACGGCCCUUAAACUUUUCUUUUUUUAAUCCUGGAACAUUUUGUUCAACAGAAUCUUACUCUGUUAAAAGGCAAAACGAAGGCGGAGCUGUCCUAACCACGGCGGGGGGAGGCCAGAGGCCCAGCGCCGCCCAGCAACACCUCCGAACCCGCCACCCCAGGAACGACACGCGGAGCAGCGACCCGGCCUCACCAUCCUGUUCCGGCUGCAUUGUGUCCUUCGAGAGGACAGCACCCAGUGCCUUUGAAGGACGGGGUGCAGAGGCAGGCGGCGGGUUAGGAGGUUUUGCAAGAACUCAGGCAAGAGACGCUGGAAUUAUAAAGCAGUGGAAACAAGAUCUAAGUCGGAGCAUUUUCAGCCUGUACCAACACGGAGUUCCUCUCAAAGCGGGUGGAUCCACAAUGGAAGGCUUUCUCUCCUCUCUAGAAGCUAACAACAGGAAUCCAUCAGAUGGUAGGAAAAUCCUGUCAAAGGAUCUUACAUCCCAAGACCUAUGAGUGGAGUCAAAAAGGAAAAAAAGUAGUCCCUGCAUAUAAAUACAGAUUCAGCUUGAAGGUCACACACCUAAGGGGCCUCGUGCAAUAAAUAUCCAAGGGAAAAAUUCAAGAGAGAAGACAGAAAGACAAAAGAUGGGAAGAAAGCAAAAGGGAGGAAAGAAGUGUUCUUGAAACAGCCAUCCUCUAGUCCUUUCCGGCAACGAGGGCGCACAAAGGUGCUUGGAUGAACGCAUCCGGGCUCAGAGAGCUUUCUCAAGAAGCCGUGGAGGGUUUCCUCUGACGCCGCACCAAAAAUACACAGGAGCCGCCCCUAAGUGUUCCACUCCACGUGCAGCCUGUGCUUCCAAGCCAGGUACGUCCCAGUGGAUUCAAUGGGUACGGGAAAAACCGGUCUGGAAACACGUCUACAACCAUCACUACGACCUGCAAGCGUGGACCAGCAGCCUAUCGAUGGAGAUGCCACCUCCAGGAAGCCGACUCUCUGCAAAAUUACAGCUAAAUGAUAACUAUCAAAGGGGAACAGCGGGCCUUGAUUAUACACCGUAAAUUCGAAUGAAACUCACGGCUAUGUAAUAAACCACUUCUUUACUUUGUGUAACUCA